AGAGUUUGAUCAUGGCUCAGGACGAACGCUGACGGCGUGCUUAACACAUGCAAGUCAACGAGAAAAGGGUAGCAAUACUCUGAGUAAAGUGGCGCACGGGUGAGUAAUAUGUAAGUAAUCUGCCCUUGGCUUUGGAAUAACGCAGAGAAAUUUGCGCUAAUACCGAAUAAUGCAGCGGCAUCGCAUGAUGAUGUUGUUAAAGUUGCAGCAAUGUAACGGCUAGGGAUGAGCUUGCAUCUGAUUAGCUAGUUGGUAGGGUAACGGCCUACCAAGGCUACGAUCAGUAGCUGGUCUGAGAGGAUGAUCAGCCACACUGGAACUGAGACACGGUCCAGACUCCUACGGGAGGCAGCAGUGAGGAAUAUUGGGCAAUGCCCGCAAGGGUGACCCAGCAACGCCGCGUGGAGGAUGAAUGCCGUAAGGUUGUAAACUCCUGUGAGAUGGGAUGAAAGUGCAUAAUUCGUAAGGGUUAUGCUUUGACCGUACCAUCAGAGGAAACCCCGGCUAACUACGUGCCAGCAGCCGCGGUAAUACGUAGGGGGUAAGCGUUGUCCGGAUUUACUGGGUGUAAAGGGCGCGUAGGCGGGCCCGUAAGUCAGAGGUGAAAGCCUGCAGCUUAACUGCAGAACUGCCUUUGAUACUGCGGGUCUUGAAUUCAGAAGAGAGAGAUGGAAUUCCAGGUGUAGUGGUGAAAUACGUAGAUAUCUGGAAGAACACCAGUGGCGAAGGCGAUCUCUUGGUCUGAUAUUGACGCUGAGGCGCGAAAGCGUGGGUAGCAGACAGGAUUAGAUACCCUGGUAGUCCACGCUGUAAACGAUGAAUACUAGAUGUUGGGCAGAAAUGUUCAGUGUCGCAGCUAACGCAUUAAGUAUUCCACCUGGGGAGUACGAUCGCAAGGUUGAAACUCAAAUGAUUUGACGG
rnacentral:rRNA from 1 species